GCAGAGGUGGCGGAGCAUGGUUUAACGCGCGAGACUGCUAAUCUCGUGUCCAAAAGACGCUUGGGUUCAAAUCCCAACCUCUGCG
rnacentral:tRNA from 1 species